rnacentral:rRNA from 1 species
AGUCGAGCGAGCUUGCCUAGAUGAAUUUGGUGCUUGCACCAGAUGAAACUAGAUACAAGCGAGCGGCGGACGGGUGAGUAACACGUGGGUAACCUGCCCAAGAGACUGGGAUAACACCUGGAAACAGAUGCUAAUACCGGAUAACAACACUAGACGCAUGUCUAGAGUUUAAAAGAUGGUUCUGCUAUCACUCUUGGAUGGACCUGCGGUGCAUUAGCUAGUUGGUAAGGUAACGGCUUACCAAGGCAAUGAUGCAUAGCCGAGUUGAGAGACUGAUCGGCCACAUUGGGACUGAGACACGGCCCAAACUCCUACGGGAGGCAGCAGUAGGGAAUCUUCCACAAUGGACGCAAGUCUGAUGGAGCAACGCCGCGUGAGUGAAGAAGGGUUUCGGCUCGUAAAGCUCUGUUGGUAGUGAAGAAAGAUAGAGGUAGUAACUGGCCUUUAUUUGACGGUAAUUACUUAGAAAGUCACGGCUAACUACGUGCCAGCAGCCGCGGUAAUACGUAGGUGGCAAGCGUUGUCCGGAUUUAUUGGGCGUAAAGCGAGUGCAGGCGGUUCAAUAAGUCUGAUGUGAAAGCCUUCGGCUCAACCGGAGAAUUGCAUCAGAAACUGUUGAACUUGAGUGCAGAAGAGGAGAGUGGAACUCCAUGUGUAGCGGUGGAAUGCGUAGAUAUAUGGAAGAACACCAGUGGCGAAGGCGGCUCUCUGGUCUGCAACUGACGCUGAGGCUCGAAAGCAUGGGUAGCGAACAGGAUUAGAUACCCUGGUAGUCCAUGCCGUAAACGAUGAGUGCUAAGUGUUGGGAGGUUUCCGCCUCUCAGUGCUGCAGCUAACG